CUAGGAUAUAAUAUGCCGUAUUAAAUGACAUAACGCAAUUCGGAUAUUCGAAGGUAAUAAACAAAAUGAAGGACAAGCCCCGAAAAAUCGUUUAAAGGGAAUAAUUAAGAAACGUUUCAGUAGGGCUAAACUUCAGGAGAAGUGGACUGGCCAUGGAUGGCGGCUUGUUGUCACUGAAGUGGAACAACCACCGCUCCACGUUCUUCUAUGUUCUCUCCACUGUUAGAAGAAAGGAGUCCUAUUGUGAUGUUACCUUAGCCUGUGAUGGGAAAUUUUAUCCAGUACACAAACUGGUUUUGUCAACAUGUAGUGAUUAUUUUGAACAAAUGUUUGAAAAGACAAACUGUAAACACCCAAUAAUAGUGUUAAAAGAUAUUAGACAUGAGGACCUUGAAGCUCUUUUGAACUACAUGUAUGUUGGUGAAGUGAAUGUGUUACAGACAGACUUAUCAGGACUUAUCAAAGCUGCUGAGUGCCUAAGGAUAAAGGGAUUGGCUGUCCCUGAUGAAGCCCCUAGUGAACGUGACACCAGCCAGGAUGGCAAAAGAAAUGUGCCAUGGUCCAGUGAAGGACCCGAUGCUAAACGUAGAAAACCUGAGGAGCCCGUGUUGCAGAAACCCAGUCAAAACACAGUAGAGAAAUUAGGAAGGGAGCUUCCCCCAAGACCUCAAUUAAGCUUUCGAGAACCAUUCAGAGAACCACAGAGAUCCCGAGAGCCUCUUCGCCUCCGCUCAAGUCCCAGCCCAAUUCUAUUUCCUUCCAGUCCAGAUACUCAGUUGCCAAGUGCCACAGGCCCAACCUCAUCACCGGAUGUUUCUCACGCGACAACCCACGAACCAGCUCCAAGUGCUCAAGCAGACUCUGCCCCGCCUCCCUCCAAUUCAGACAAUGAAAUCAGCGGUGCAGGAGAGUCUGAGUUGAUAAUGGAUGAACCCCUAGUCAAAGAAGAACCACACGAUGAUUACUCUGAAGCAGACGAAACCAAAGAAUCCAUUAAGUCAACAGACUCUGAAGCUGGCCUGAGUUACCCCGUUCAUAGUGAGCACUCUGGGAGUAUAGGGAGAGAGGUUGGGGGUGCAGGCUUCAAUCCCCAGAGCCUGCGGUCCUCCAGCCAACCUCAGACGAUGGAGGAUCUUGUGGCUCAGGCUCUUCCAGGAGCAUCUGGUCUACAAGGGAAAACUUGGGAAGGAGACCGAAAUUUACUUGGAAUACCGUUUGAAGGAUUUUCAGGAAACCAGGGUUCUCAAAUGGCUGGAUCGUUGGUGUGGCAGCAGCAGUCAAUCCGUCCACAGGGACAGGGUGUUGUGUGCCCUUUCUGCAGAAGAGAGUUCCUCCACAAGAACAACUUCCUGAAGCACUACAAGACACACACAGGGGAGAAGCCCUUCUCUUGCCCUUUCUGCGAUUUUCGUACCAUUCAGAAGGGAAACCUCAAGACCCACAUGCGCAAUGUUCAUAAGAGCAUAUUUACUUGAAAGAAAGAAAAAAGCAUGGUUAUCUUCAGGGAAUUGAGUUUGGUACUGAAUUUAAGGACGAUGGUGGAGUGGUCGUGCAGAGAGGGUUGUGGUUCCGCUUUACUUGUAACUUCUGUCACAAGAAUUUCAACCACAAGAACAACUUCAGGAAGCACUUGCGUACCCAUACUG
rnacentral:misc_RNA from 1 species